rnacentral:rRNA from 1 species
AGUGAACGCUGGCGGCGUGCUUAACACAUGCAAGUCGAACGAGAACGGUCCUAGCUUGCUAGGAUGUCAGCUAAGUGGCGGACGGGUGAGUAAUGUAUAGUUAAUUUGCCCCUUAGAGAGGGAUAACAGUUGGAAACGACUGCUAAUACCUCAUACUCCUUCUGCCUUAAUGGUAGUUGGGAAAUGUUUUUUCGCUAAGGGAUGAGACUAUAUGGUAUCAGGUAGUUGGUAGGGUAAGAGCCUACCAAGCCAAUGACGCCUAGCUGGUCUGAGAGGAUGAUCAGCCACACUGGAACUGAGACACGGUCCAG